UACGGGAGGCAGCAGUGGGGAAUAUUGCACAAUGGGCGCAAGCCUGAUGCAGCCAUGCCGCGUGUAUGAAGAAGGCCUUCGGGUUGUAAAGUACUUUCAGUCGUGAGGAAGGUGUUAAGGUUAAUAACCUUAGCAAUUGACGUUAGCGACAGAAGAAGCACCGGCUAACUCCGUGCCAGCAGCCGCGGUAAUACGGAGGGUGCGAGCGUUAAUCGGAAUUACUGGGCGUAAAGGGCACGCAGGCGGUUAAUUAAGUUGGAUGUGAAAUCCCCGGGCUUAACCUGGGAAUGGCAUUCAAGACUGGUUAGCUAGAGUCUUGUAGAGGGGGUAGAAUUCCAUGUGUAGCGGUGAAAUGCGUAGAGAUGUGGAGGAAUACCGGUGGCGAAGGCGGCCCCUGGGACAAAGGCUGACACUCAUGUGCGAAAGCGUGGGGAGCAAACAGGGAUUAGAUACC
rnacentral:rRNA from 1 species